rnacentral:rRNA from 1 species
CCCUUAGAUGUUCUGGGCCGCACGCGCGCUACACUGAUGCAUUCAACGAGUCCAACCUUGACCGAGAGGUCCGGGUAAUCUUUGAAACUGCAUCGUGAUGGGGCUAGAUUAUUGCAAUUAUUAAUCUUCAACGAGGAAUGCCUAGUAAGCGUGAUUCAUCAAAUCGCGUUGAUUACGUCCCUGCCCUUUGUACACACCGCCCGUCGCUCCUGCCGAUUGAGUGUGUUGGUGAGGAGUUUGGAUUGGCCUCGGAAGGUGGUUCGCCACCGUCCGUAGCUGAGAAGUUCUCCAAACCGCCCCACUUAGAGGAAGGAGAAGUCGUAACA